UGAGGAACAUGACCUUCGGCGGGGGAUAGCCGGCCCAACGGCCGGGUAAUACCGCGUACGACCACAUGGGGACAUCCCUGAGUGGUGAAAGCAGCAAUGCGCCGAUGGAGUGCCUCGCGGCCUAUCAGCUAGUUGGUGAGGUAACGGCUCACCAAGGCGACGACGGGUANCUGGUCUGAGAGGAUGGCCAGCCACAUUGGGACUGAGAUACGGCCCAGACCUCUACGGGAG
rnacentral:rRNA from 1 species